AAAAAACAUUUGAUUUGAAUUAGUUUUAGUUUUAAUAAUAUGAAAUCGAUUCAACCAAACUAAAUAAAACCGGUUUAAUCACCUCUGAAAGAAGAAAACAAAAGUAUAAAUACGAACUUUUCUUCUAACCCUAGAGACCAAAUCAAACCCAACCGGUUCCUCCCCCAAUUUUUCUCUGAAUCUCAGCGUCUCCACUUCUCUGGUUUCUAUCUUCUCGUCUUCUCCAGGAACUCUACAAUUCUCAGCUACAUUCGACAGCGGAUUUAAGUGAGAAACUUGAUAAAACUGAGGUGGUUAACUUUUUCGGUCGUCAACACGUAGACCUUCUUCAUUCUGCUUUGCUGCUUCCACCAGCAAGAUCUGAGUUUAUUAUUCUCUUCCUUGAAAAUUCAAAAAAAGCUCGAGGAAACUAAAAAAUCAUUAGUAGAUCUCGAAGAAAAACACAGACAAGCGAACAUGACUACAAAGCAGACGGGAUUUUUUAUAUCUAAUCUCCUCAAAUCUGGUAGCUGAUUAAGCCGGGAUCAGUAAUACUAAGGACAGAGUAGUUGACUGUUAUAAAGUUUCCCACCAUAACAGUGUCGUUAAUGUUGCAAGUAAACUGAGAUGAUAACGCUGGUGGGCUUGGACUAGGGCAACCAUAGUACAGUGUUACCUCAGCAUGAUCUGAAGUGGAACUCAAGAGAUUUGGAUUCAAAGAGGUGUUGGAAAGGAGAGUAGGACAUAGAUUUUCUGUGUAAUCUGAUCUAGAAACAUUGAGAGUCCGCGACUGGUUAUUGAUGCCAAGGAGUUUGUAAGUCGAUUGCAUGAUUGUGAUCUCCGGAUCUUGGUUGCUGCAACCGAGCUCAAACCCGGGAUAGCCACAGUAAUCAGGCCUAUCGGAUCCCGAGAAAGGAUAACCAACAUCUUUAAUAUCUCCGCAAUCAAAUGACUUCAUGCAGUUCAGAUAUCGCUCAUCAUCAUCAGCAAACACAGGUGCUGAACCACAGACCAAGGCUAUGGUUAGGAGUAGGAUAAGCCAAGACAUGGCCUGAAGGAGUAGCGGUCGUGUUUUUGCAGAGGGAUUGACAGGAAACGUUGUUCAAGUAUUGAGUUAAGAGGAAGAAACACCUAGGUGGGAGUUAUUUACUCGAUCAAUACAAUAGAACUGGUAGUACGUAUUUGACCAAAGGGGAUUUUGUCAAAGAGAAGCUUCCAUUAGAAUGGUGAGAGUGGCAUCAACGUAAAUUCAGGUGGCCAAACAAGUAGGCAGGUCAUUUUGUCAGCAAGAUAAUGUGUAUUUUGAAUCCUGAUAGUCAAAUUCUGUGUUCUUGUUAAAAUUUUCAAGUUCAUGUCUUAAAUGUAUGGUUUUAUACUUAUUGUGCUACGGCCAACGUAAACAUUGGUGUCUGAAUACUAGAAAGAUACUUUUGAUUAGCAGGUAAAAA